rnacentral:rRNA from 1 species
UGCGUAGACGGUUAUGUAAGUCGGGUGUGAAAGCCCCGGGCUCAACCUGGGAAUGCCAUUCGAAACUGCAUAGCUAGGGUGCGGAAGAGGGAAGCGGAAUUUCCGGUGUAGCGGUGAAAUGCGUAGAUAUCGGAAGGAACACCAGUGGCGAAAGCGGCUUCCUGGUCCAGCACCGACGUUCAGGCACGAAAGCGUGGGGAGCAAACAGGAUUAGAUACCCUGGUAGUCCACGCCAUAAACGAUGAGAACUAGACGUUGAGAGGGUAAGCCUCGCAGUGUCGUAGCUAACGCGCUAAGUUCUCCGCCUGGGGAGUACGGCCGCAAGGUUGAA